rnacentral:rRNA from 1 species
UACGAAGGGGGCUAGCGUUGCUCGGAAUUACUGGGCGUAAAGCGCACGUAGGCGGAUUGUUAAGUCGGGGGUGAAAUCCUGGAGCUCAACUCCAGAACUGCCUUCGAUACUGAGAGUCUCGAGUCCGGGAGAGGUGAGUGGAACUGCGAGUGUAGAGGUGAAAUUCGUAGAUAUUCGCAAGAACACCAGUGGCGAAGGCGGCUCACUGGCCCGGUACUGACGCUGAGGUGCGAAAGCGUGGGGAGCAAACAGG